rnacentral:lncRNA from 1 species
UAAAAUACUAUUCUGGUUUGUACUCCUUGAUUUCAGAUGUAGUACAUUCAAAACACAUUUCAAACAAAACAAACUUUACGAAUUACAUUCUUCCAAAAAAAAAAAAAAUUCAAGCAUAAACUUCAGCAAUUAAACGCACCAAUAAUAUCAAUCAAACAAAGGUAACAGAACAGAUGACACAUGAACAAUUUCCAUCAGUUGUUAUUCCCAAACAAAUCUACAAGUUUAUAUCAUUUAAUCAAGGAGUCGUACCUGGACAGCAGUGAAACAAGCAGAAACUGAACCAAAUAAAAGUGAAGAGGAAUUGCUACAGCACAGUGACAACCAUCUACAACAGCAAACCACGGACAGCGAAAUUCUUCAGCAAACCCAGAAAUCAACGCCAAAAUGGAAAGAAUUUCAAAUAAUAUUAUGUUUCAGAUCUGAGAUUUUAGUUCCAGAUUAAGAGCUGUCUUUGUGUGUCAUUUUCGCUGGAAUUUUAGUCAGCUUCAUGGCCAUUUGGGGUCACUUUCGGACCAUUUCUAGCUAGUUUCUCACAGCUAUUGUUGCUGUAUUUUUCCCUAGUUGUUGCAGCUGAUUU